rnacentral:misc_RNA from 1 species
AAGUCGUAACAAGGUUUCCGUAGGUGAACCUGCGGAAGGAUCAUUACCGAGAUAGGGUCCUCUGGGCCCGAACCUCCCACCCAUUGUUUACUUACCUUUGUUGCUUUGGCAGGCCGCCUUUUAGGCGUCGGCUCCGGCUGACUGCGCCUGCCAGAGGACCCAAACUCGUUUGUUUAGUGAUGUCUGAGUACUAUAUAAUAGUUAAAACUUUCAACAACGGAUCUCUUGGUUCUG